rnacentral:rRNA from 1 species
AUUGAACGCUGGCGUCAGGCCUAACACAUGCAAGUCGAGCGAGCGGCGGACGGGUGAGUCAUGUCUGGGAAACUGCCUGAUGGAGUGGGAUAACUACUGGAAACGGUAGCUAAUACCGCCUACCCUCAGCUGUGCCCAGAUGGGCUUGUCUUGUAGGUUGGGUAACGGCUCACCUAGGCGACGAUCCCUAGCUGGUCUGAGAGGAUGACCAGCAAAACUGGAACUGAGACACGGGCCAGACUCAGUCGGGAGGCAGAAGUGGGGAAGAUGGCACAAUGGGCGGAAGCCGGAUGCAGCCAUGCCGCGUGUGUGAAGAAGGCCGUCGGGUUGGAAAGCAAUUUCAGCGGGGAGGCGGUACACGCAGAAGAAGCACCGGCUAAAUCCGUGCCAGCAGCCGCGGUAAUUC